GUAAACGAUGUCGACUUGGAGGUUGUGCCCUUGAGGCGUGGCUUCCGGAGCUAACGCGUUAAGUCGACCGCCUGGGGAGUACGGCCGCAAGGUUAAAACUCAAAUGAAUUGACGGGGGCCCGCACAAGCGGUGGAGCAUGUGGUUUAAUUCGAUGCAACGCGAAGAACCUUACCUGGUCUUGACAUCCACGGAAGUUUUCAGAGAUGAGAAUGUGCCUUCGGGAACCGUGAGACAGGUGCUGCAUGGCUGUCGUCAGCUCGUGUUGUGAAAUGUUGGGUUAAGUCCCGCAACGAGCGCAACCCUUAUCCUUUGUUGCCAGCGGUCCGGCCGGGAACUCAAAGGAGACUGCCAGUGAUAAACUGGAGGAAGGUGGGGAUGACGUCAAGUCAUCAUGGCCCUUACGACCAGGGCUACACACGUGCUACAAUGGCGCAUACAAAGAGAAGCGACCUCGCGAGAGCAAGCGGACCUCAUAAAGUGCGUCGUAGUCCGGAUUGGAGUCUGCAACUCGACUCCAUGAAGUCGGAAUCGCUAGUAAUCGUGGAUCAGAAUGCCACGGUGAAUACGUUCCCGGGCCUUGUACACACCGCCCGUCACACCAUGGGAGUGGGUUGCAAAAGAAGUAGGUAGCUUAACCUUCGGGAGGGCGCUUACCACUUUGUGAUUCAUGACUGGGGUGAAGUCGUAACAAGGUAACCGUAGGGGAACCUGCGGUUGGAUCAC
rnacentral:rRNA from 2 species